GUGCCGGGACGACCCGGCACUGUCUCGUUUCAUCCGGGGACGGCCCCG
rnacentral:ncRNA from 1 species